AGCUUAUCGAAUUACGUAAUAGCUGGUUCUCUCCGAAACAGCUUUUGGGUUGGCGUCGUGUGGUCCCUCUGGGGGUAGAGCACUGGAAGGAGCAAACAGGGAGAAAUCUCGUUGCUCCUAUCAAACUCCGAAUACCAGCAGGCAACAGCACGGCAGUUAGACAGUGGGGGAGAAGCUCCAUGUGUCGAAAGGGAAACAGCCCAGAUCGCCAGUUAAGGUCCCUAAAUAUAUGCUCAGUGCAACUUGAGGAGGUGAGGAUUCAUUAACAAUCAGGAAGUUGGCUUAGAAGCAGCCAUCUUUUAAAGAAAGCGUAACAGCUCACUGAUCGAGAGUCCUUGCGCCGAAGAUGAUCGGGGCUCAAGCAUAUUACCGAAACUGCGGAUUUCCAUGAUUUAUCAUGGGAGUGGUAGGAGAGCGUUCGUAUUGCAAUGAAUGGGAGGCGAGAGCCGACCUGGAGCGAUGCGAAGUGAGAAUGCCGGCACAAGUAACCGCAAGACGGGUGGGAACCCCGUCCGCCGAAAUACCAAGGUUUCCUUUGCGAUGGUGAUCAGCGAAGGGUUAGUCGGUCCUAAGGGAAUCCCGAAUGGGGGACUCGAUGGAGAGCAGGUUAAUAUUCCUGCACACUGGUGCGUUGCGAUGGAGGGACGGAGGGUUGUACUUGACGCGGCUUAUUGGAUUGCCGUAGGAGGUUCGAGGAGGUCACGUAGGCAAAUCCGCGUGGCAAUACUCCGAGUUCAAACUAAUAGAUGAGGCUACGGCCAAAUCGAUGUCAAGGAGCACGCUUCCGAGAAAAACUUCUAAGCAUAAACGUACCGGUUCCGUACCGCAAUCCGACACAGGUGGUAGAGUCGAGAAGACUAAGGCGAACGAGUGAGAGGUCCUCAAGGAACUCGGCAAACAAGCGGCCGUAACUUAGGGAUAAGGCCUGCCUUUAUAGAAAUAUAAAGGCCGCAGCGAAAGAUUUCCUGCCGACUGUUUAUCAAAAACACAGCUCCCUGCGAAGACGUAAGUCAAUGUAUAGGGGGUGACGCCUGACCUAUGCUGGAAGGUUAAAUACGGGGGGUCGUAUGUUCUUCGGAAUGUGCGGCUGGACUGUAUAAGCCCCAGUAAAUGUCAGCGAUAACUAUAAUCGUUCUAAGGUCGUGCGUGUUUCUUCGGAAAUCCGCACGACGGAUUGGAACGGUUAUAGAGAUAAACAGCCUAGCCAUAGUUACCUUACAUACAGAAAUGUAUGCAUUAUCCAAAUCUAGCCUACAAGAGACCAAAUGCUAGAAACCCAAGUGUUCCUUGUGAAUAACGGGUUAAGAUAGAGUCCUGCAGUGAAAUGUCUUUGAAAAGCAAUUUUCAAAGAAGAAGGAAAUGUAGAGCGUAUUUCCUUGUCGGGUAAGUUCCGACGUGCACGAAUGGCGUAACGAGUGGGAAACUGUCUCGAGGACCUGCUCGGUGAAAAUACAAUCGCGGUAAAGAUGCCGCGUACCUGCAGAUAGACGAAAAGACCCCAGGUGCUUUACUGUAGCUUCGUAUUGGGGCUAUUGAAUUAAUGCGUAGUAUAGGUGUGAGGCUUUGAAGUGGGCUUUCGGGUACCAUGGAGCCGCCAGUGAAAUAGCACCCUUUAAUUUGGUAGUCUCUAACCCGUGUGGUAAAACCUCACAGGGACAGUGCGUGGCAGGCAGUUUUAGUGGGGCGCUACCCUCCCAAAAAGUAACGGAGGGGUCUCAAGGUUGGUUAGCCGCGAAUGGAAACCGUGGCGAUAGUGUAAUGGCAUAAACCAGCUUGACUGUAAGAGGUAGAUCUCGAACAGACACGAAAGUGGAGCAUAGUGAACCGAUGGCUCGCGUUAGAUGCGGCCGGAGAUUACCCGAUAAAAGUAACCCUGGGGAUAACAGGCUAGUCGUGCCCAAGCGUCCAUAGCGACGGCACGGUUCGGCACCUUAACUUAUAUAAGUUUCAAAACAAUAUACAUCGGGGUGCCUAGAGUAGCGAUACUCUACAAAAACAAAUCGGCUAUUACGGUGAACGCCAUGCCAGCCGCUACUACUUAUGUAGUAGAAUGAGGACAUGGUCAAUACCGUGGAAAGGCUAAAUCAAUUCCAAAGGUCAGUAAUUAUUGGCACCGUACUUGGUGAUGGAUACCUUCGUAUCGUCCCAGGUCGCCAACAUGCCUUUUUGGAAGUAAAUCAUGCACUUAGUCAGCAAGAGUACGUAUGGUGGAAAUACCAGGUACUUGAAGGAGUUAGAGCUGGAGCACCAAAAGUGCGUAAUGGAAAUGGUGGGCGUACAGCAGUACGCUUCCAUACCAAACAAUCUGAAGAAUUAA
rnacentral:rRNA from 1 species